rnacentral:rRNA from 1 species
AAAGAUUAAGCCAUGCAAGUACAAGUUCAGCUUUAAAAAGUGAAACCGCGAAUGGCUCAUUAAAUCAGUUUUGGUUCAUUUGUAUUUUCCAUUUAUAUGAAUAACUGCGGUAACCCUGCAGCUAAUGCAUGCUAUUGCUCCUCCUUGUUGUGGAGAACUUUUACUAGCAUAACUGGACCCAUCGGCACGGCAUCGAUGGUAAAUGAUGAAUACUGAGUAACUGAAUGACCUUUAUACGCUAUAUACAGCGAAAGGCGAUGCAUUCGAAUAUCUGCCCUAUCAACUUCUGAUGGUAGUGUAACGGACUACCAUGGUUGUGACGGGUGACGGGGAAUCAGGGUUCGAUUCCGGAGAGGGAGCCUGAGAAACGGCUACCACUUUCAAGAAAGGCAGCAGGCACGCAAAUUACCCAAUGUCGGGACGACGAGGUAGUGACGAAAAAUAACGAUAUGAGCCCAUUGGGUUUGUAAUCGGAAUGGAAGAGAUUUAACAAAUCUCUUGAGGAUCUAGUAGAGGGCAAGUCUGGUGCCAGCAGCCGCGGUAAUACCAGCCUCUACAAGCAUAUGCAAAUGUUGCUGCGUUUGAAAAGCUCAUAGUUGGAUCCGUAGUCUGUUCAAGUUCUUUCACGUUCAGCUCAGAAGAAGCCUGUCUGUGGACCUAGAUCAGGACUGUCCCUUCGUUAAGGGUGUUUGCACUUCAUUGUGUCGAAUACUCGGAACGGAGUAUUUACCUUGAGUAAAUUAGAGUGCUCAAAGCAAGCAUAUGAUUGAAUAAUAAAGCAUGGAAUAAUGGAGGAGGCCUGCUCUCUUUAUAGCACCGGUUGCUGGAGUAGCAGUAAUGGUUAAAAGGAACAGUCGGGGGUAUUUGUAUUGCUACGUUAGAGGUGAAAUUCUUGGAUCGUGGCAAGACAAACUAACCAAGAAUGUUUUCAUUAAUCAAGAACGAAAGUCAGAGCAUUGAAGAGGAUUAGAUACCCUCGUAAUUCUGACCAUAAACGAUACCAACUUACGAUUUGUCAAAGUCCCAUCCUGACUUGGCAAGRGAGUUAACCSGGGAAACCAAAGUUUUUUGGCUCCGGGGGAAGUAUGGUUGCAAAAUCGAAACUUAAAGGAAUUGACGGAAGGGCACCACCAGGAGUGGAGCCUGCGGCUUAAUUUGACUCAACACGGGAAAACUCACCAGGUCCAGACAUCGAAAGGAUUGACAGAUUGAAUAUCUUUCAUGAUUCAAUGGGUGGUGGUGCAUGGCCGUUCUUAGUUAGUGGAGUGAUCUGUCUGGUUAAUUCCGAUAACGAACGAGAUCCUAGCCAUUUAAAUAGAAGUAGUAACUUCGGUUGCUAUACACUUCUUAGAGGAACUAUGCGGAAUAUAAUACCGCAAGGAAGUGGGGCUAUAACAGGUCUGUGAUGCCCUUAGAUGUCCUGGGCUGCACGCGCGCUACACUGAGUACAGAAGUGUGAUUGUGGAAACCUAGUCCGAAAUGGUCCGGGUAACCACCAAAAUGUACUUAUUAUGAUGGGGAUAGACUCUUGUAACUAGUAGUCUUGAACGAGGAAUUCCUAGUAAUAUCAAGUCAACAACUUGAUGUGAUUACGUCCCUGCCCUUUGUACACACCGCCCGUCGCUACUACUGAUUGGAUGAUUAAGCAAGAACUCCUGAAACUUGCAGCUCCGGUUUCGUAUCGGAGCAGUGAGCGGACGGAGAUCGAGUUUUGUUGUCUAGAGGAAGUAAAAGUCGUAACAAGGUUCC